rnacentral:tRNA from 1 species
GCUAGAGUAAGCUAAUUAGGCUAUUGGGCCCAUACCCCAACAGUGUUGGUAAAUCCAUCCUCUACCA